AUUGAACGCUGGCGGCAUGCCUAACACAUGCAAGUCGAACGGUAACAGGAAGAAGCUUGCUUCUUUGCUUUCGAGUGGCGGACGGGUGUGUCAUGUCUGGGAAACUCCUUUAUGGAGGGGGUUAACUACUGGAAACGGUACCUAUUACCGCAUAUUUUCUCAACACCAAAGUGCGGGACCUUCUGGCCUCUUUCCAUCGUCUUUUCCCUGAUGGGAUUAGCUAGUAGGUGGGGUAACGGCUCACCUAGUCGACGAUCCCUAUCUGGUCUGAGAGGUUGACCAGCCACACGGGAAGUGAGACACGGUCCAGACUCCUACGGGAGGCAGCAGUGGGGAAUAUUGCACAAUGGGCGAAAGCCUGAUGGAGCAAUGCCGCGUGUAUGAAGAAGGCCUUCGGGUUGUAAAGUACUGUGAGCGGGGAGGAAGGGAGGAAAGAGAAAACGUGAGCACAUUGACGGUACCCGAAGAAGAAGCACCGGCUAACUACGUG
rnacentral:rRNA from 1 species